rnacentral:rRNA from 1 species
UACAGAGGGUGCGAGCGUUGUCCGGAAUUACUGGGCGUAAAGGGCGCGUAGGCGGCCUUCUAAGUCAGACGUGAAAUCCCUCGGCUCAACCGGGGAACUGCGUCUGAGACUGAAAGGCUUGAAUCCGGGAGAGGAAUGCGGAAUUCCAGGUGUAGCGGUGAAAUGCGUAGAUAUCUGGAGGAACACCGGUGGCGAAGGCGGCAUUCUGGACCGGCAUUGACGCUGAGGCGCGAAAGCCAGGGGAGCAAACGGG